rnacentral:tRNA from 1 species
GGGCCGUUAGCUCAAUUGGCAGAGCAACUGACUCUUAAUCAGUAGGUCAUAGGUUCGACUCCUAUACGGCCCACCA